GAAAUGCGAUAAGUAGUGUGAAUUGCAGAAUUCAGUGAAUCAUCGAAUCUUUGAACGCACAUUGCGCCCCUUGGUAUUCCAUGGGGCAUGCCUGUUCGAGCGUCAUUUGUACCCUCAAGCUCUGCUAGGUGUUGGGUGUUUGUCCCGUCUCCGCGCGUGGACUCGCCCCAAAGUGAUUGGCAGCCGGCGUACUGGUCCCGGAGCGCAGCACAUGUCGCGCAAACGAGUGCCUUGGUACGGCGGCGUCCAUAAGCCCCUCUCUCACGCUCUUGACCUCGGAUCAGGUAGGGAUACCCGCUGAACUUAAGC
rnacentral:misc_RNA from 1 species